rnacentral:lncRNA from 1 species
GAGCAUAGAAGCCUCUUUAAAAGUUUGCAAAUCUUUAAAGCAUUAGCUCCGGAUGUUUCAAAUGUGCUAAGGUUAGAAAGUGCAGUGAAAACCAUGAAACGUUGUGUGAAGGAGAUUCUGAUGUCCUGUUAUGUUAAAGGAAGGUAGAUGGAGGUUCAGGAACAGAUGGGCCGGGCUGGGUUUUCUUGUUUUAACUUUAUUACCCACGUCAGACGAUGGAUAAGCCAUGAUCUGCCUCGCGUCCCAAGAUGUCUACAGACUUCAGAGCAUAAUUUUCACUCAGUGUUACCACUGUGAAUUGACAUAAUUUUGACCAAAGUCAGAGAAACAGUGUUUUAUUUAUUUCACCCAAAAUAGAUAAAUGUGCAUGUUUCUAAGACAAUUUGGGAUUGCAAAUAGCUCACAGACUUCCCAUGGCUCUCUCGAAAGAUGCUAUGCAUCAGCGAUUGAAAUAUCGAGGUGGCUUGGAUUCAAAUCUUAACUCAGCUGGUAACUGAAUGACCUGGGGAAAAAUUCCUCACGUCUCUGUACAUUCAUCGUCUCCUCACCUGUAGAAUGAAACAUGUGAAGCUCAUAGCCUGUUAAAGGAUUAAGUAUUUAAUACAUGUACCAUAUAUGGAAAUUUUUGUAAUAUAGUAGGCACACACUGAGUGCCUUUUCUUAUUGGUAACAUCAUUAGCAUUGGCCUUGUCAUUUUGGAAUCCGUUUUGGUGUGAACCCUGGAGUCCAGGGUCCUGGAUUAAAAAACUUUGAUCUAAACUCAUAAGCUUGCCACUCUGAACUUGAAUUUCGAGAAAUAAUUAAAAUUAGCCAAACAGGCAUUUGUAAAGCAAUAUUCAUUGUGUAUGAGAAAUGUUAUAAACUAUUAGGCAUGGUGUAUUUUGACUUUCUACUCUGAGUUGGCAAAGGUUAGUCAGUGUGUGAGUCUUCUUUGCUGACAGAUACACUCUUCCAUCCAAAGGUACCCGCAGGCCAAAGAAUAGGUUGUUCUUUGGGACUGAUACUGUUCUGUCCAGAAAGCCCUUUUGUUUUUAAUUUCCACCAGUGUUUUUCCUUCCUUCCUUCUUCCUUUCCUUCCUUCCUCUUUCUCUCUUGAUAGCUAUAAGGUAAGUUUUCUGUUCUUCAGCCUGAGGAUACUCUAUAUCCAAGUGUAUCAAAAUAGAAAUUUUCUGAACUACAUUUAUUCUAGAUUUUAGACUAUGCUAAGUGAUAUCCUUCCGCAGAAUGCCAUUCCAGCAACACACACUUUUGCUUUGUUAUUUCACUUGGGAAGGUUACUUCUGCUUAGGCAGCGCUGAUGUAAAAAUAGAACAGGUCCCAUCCAGUGAAGCAUCUUAUGUAAACGUUGCUUGAAAAACUUCUUGUUCUUUAAUAAUGUGUAUGAAAGAAUGUGAAUUUAAACAGGUGCUGGACCUGUUUUGUCACAUUUAGUUCAAAGCUAUGUAGACAUAUAUCAUCAAAGGUGUGCUUGGCUCCCUCUGUUACUCUGUCAUUGGUACAGAAGAUGUUUUGCAUGCAAACAGCAUCUCUGCUCUUUUAAGUUAAAUGUAUAGAUUUGCUCUAGAGCUCCGUUGUCCCCUAGGUUUAUUAAAAUGUAUUGCCUUAAGAAACACCAUCAUGAUACAUCUCCUCAAGAUCCUGUAGAAAUACCUGGAUUUUAAAAUUUUAUAUUCUGAUUAUUUUCUUCUAGUAGCGAAACAGUGCCAGUUUCUCAUAAGCAGUGAUACAUUUGCAGAACCUCAUUGGAAUUGUAAUUUUUAAGUUUGAAAAUUUUGUGAUACUAGGAAAUAUGAUUAGAACUGUUUUCAUUCAUUCUUACCUUAAAAGAAAUGGCCUAAAAGUAAGGUUUCAAACUUUCUUUUUCAAGGUCCUUGUCCUUUUUUUUCCCUUCCUACAUUCAUAAAAUUUUGUUAGCUCUUUUACAUCAACGACAAGAAAAAAUGCCAAACAUAAACAUGAAAAAUAGACGACUUUGUAGUUACCAGUUGAAAUAUACUUAACUUUAAUGUGAAAUAAUUAAAUUCUCAAGUAUUUAUCAUACAGUUUGGUCCAUAAUGGUAGAUUCAUUUGGAAAACCCAGAAUGCUUCUUUAUUCUUCCCUAAUGAUAAAGUUUUUUUAUUCACUUAUAGUUAGUUUCAGUUAAAGUUGAAAAUAUUAUUCAUAUCAACAGGAAAAUAGCUAAUUUGUAUAGAUUGCUUUGGGGGUUCUAUAUUACAUUUUGUCUUAUGUCAGCUUUAGGCUCUUUAAUUUGUUGUGUUUUGGUCACUGAAUAUGAUACUUUGUUUAUGAAAUGGUUAAUCAUUUUAUGUCAAUUUAACAAGAUAUCUGUGUAUGUGACUUUUCUAGUACUCAAAUCAUGUCUGAUAAACUUUCAUAGAAACCUCUUUAUAAGAAUUCAAUAGGAGUUCCCAUUGUGGUGCAGCAGGACUGAACCUGACUAGCAUGCAUGAGAACUCAGGUAUGAUCCCUGGCCUCGCUCAGUGGGUUAAGGAUCUGGUGUUGCCAUGAGCUAUAGUGUGGGUUGCAGAUGUGGCUCAGAUCCUGCGUGGCUGUGGCCGUGGCCAGCAGGUGUAGCUCAGAUUCAGCCCUAGCCUGGGAACUUCAAUAUAUCAUAAGUGUAGCCCCGAAAAGCAAAAAGAGAAAAAAAACCCAACAAAUCUAAUUCUUACAGUUUGAUUGUUGUAAUUGAAUAUUUCACUCAAUCUUUCUGUGCAUGAAAUUGUUAAUAGCCUAUGUUUGUUUUUUAUUCAGGUAUAGUUGAUUUACAAUAUUCCACUGUGUAUGUGU